rnacentral:lncRNA from 1 species
CAAACAUUGCAUUAUUGAUCCAUGAAAUUAUUAGAGUAAAAUCAAGAAGCAACCAUGUUAUUAAUGAUAAAAUUAUUUUCAUCCAAAUACAUGGACUAAAUGCUUUGUGCUUAAAGACCACUUGGACAAUUACUACUAAUGAAGCAACACUUUGCAUAAUGAUAAUGAUAAUAGAUAUAAACUAGUCUAUUUAUUGAACACAUAAUGUGAUGUGGUCCAAAUCCAAAGACAAGUGGUUGUGACUUCAUGGUUUCCAUAGAAGGGUAGUUUCAGCAAUCAUGGAAGUAACCACAUAGGGAUCCAUAUUAGAAGAAGGCCUUCUAUCCUCAAAGUAACCUUUGCCAUCUUUUUCUGUGUCUCUUCCAACCCUAACAGAUGCACCACGGUUUGCCACACCCUACAUACAAUGGAACAUAACAUAAAUAUUUGUAUACCAAAUCCAAAAACAUUAAGCUAUGUUAUGAUAACUAAUUGUAUAAUAUUUCAAUCUUGAUUCUUAUCUUUGAAAAUAAUUGAUAACUUCCUUAUUUUUUAAAAAGAAGAAUAUGCCCUCGUAUAUUUUUGUUUGGCACACAGUAAAGGACCUUCCAACAUCUUAACGUUCCUAUUUAGAUCACAAGCUAUGAAGCACGGACACUGACACUGACACACAGAUACGGAUAAUAAUUUAAGAAAAUGACAUAUUUUAGUAUAAUCAUAGGUUUCGUGUCGGUGUCGGACACCAACACGUGUCUGACACCGAACACACCUAAUCUGAGGAGUGUCCGUGUUUCAUAGAUCACAAGUCUGUGUUACCAAGCUCAACAAUAUGUCCUUAUAUCUAAAGUCCAUCAUUCAAACCCUAAGAAGUACCAAAACCCUAGUUUGUUAUUGAAAAAUCUUUUUUUUUUUUGGUAUUUGUUACCAAUAUGAGGAAAAUUUCAAUUUUUUUCACUAAUUGUUAGGCAUAUUCAGAAUACUUCUAGCCAAUAGUUAAAGAAUGUAAAGAACUGACCCAAGAAAAGGUGUUGAUGUCUGCUGUUUCAUGUUUUCCAGUGAGACGUCUCUCAUUUCCUUCUCCAUAGGCAGCAAUGUGUUCCUUAUGCCUCAAUCCAAGCUUUUCAAUGGCCUUCUUGAUGAUUUCAUAGCCUCCAUUCUCUCUCAUUGACUUGGUGCUGGAAUAACCAUUGAAAUAAUAAGAAAAUGACUAUGUCUCAAAGAUACUACAUAUUGAAUAAUGUUGUCAAUCGCGCAUAUUGCAAAAAAUAGUGGUUUGUUGAAAACGACUAUAUUUUAUAGAAACUAUUUGAACAUUGUGGUCAAAAGCACAAAUUGCAAAAUUAGUGGUUUGUUCAAAUCAGUUGAAAUCAUUAUCUGAACAAACCAUUAUUUUCGCACAAAGAUACUAAAUAGUGGUUUGUUCGAAGAUACUAAAUAGUACUACAUCGCAAAACAACAUCCAUUUACUUAAAUUUCACUUGGGACCCUAGAGCUACAAUUUAAGAACAAUUUCUCCAAUAGAUUAUGAUGUUUGUUACCUAUAGUUUGUGUGAGCACCAGCUCCAUUCCAAUCACCCUAGUAACAACAAUGUAACAAACAAACAUCACUCAAAAUGGACAAAAAAAAAUUUAAUAAAGAAUAAGAUAAUCAAUUGUUUCUUUCUCUUUCAACUCUUCAACCAUACAAAAGUUUUUAACAAAUUUAAAAAUAUGUAAAAAAGGGCAUUCUAACCGGAAUUGGCUUAGGGUCAAAUGAAACAACCACUCCAGCUAUCUCUGUGAUCCUCUGUAAUAAUAUAAUAUAUAAAAAUUUCAUCAGAUAUAACAUUUUUAUUGAUAUUCUUUGUCAUAUGGCCUUCAAAAUAAAUAAUUUCGAAAAUAAAUAUAUGAAAAAUAUAAGUUACCUCUAGAAUGUAACGAGCAGCCCAUAUCUCAUCUCCAGCAGAAAUACCAACAGAAGGGCCAACUUGGAACUCCCACUAUAAAAUUGUUAUAUAAUUAAAAAAAUAUUUAACUUUAAAUACAAACCAAAAAGAUAAUAAUAAAAAACAAACAUGAAUACUAGAACUAGUAAUUAAGCAUUUUAGCACUUUUUUUUUUAGAGAAGCACUUGAAAUUGUAAUAGUUGAUCAAUAUAAUUCCACAAAUUCACAUAAUAACAAACUAGUCUUUUUAAUUAAAGAAUAUAAAUCAAUAUUUCCUCUCUAUCAACAUAUUUCUUAAGUCUUUACAAUUUAAAAGAUUAGAAUGUUUAUUUACUCUACUGAAUUUUGUUAGCAUCCGACUCCUUUAAAAUGAACAAUUUAUUUUAUUUUAAAAUAAAGUCAAUAAUAUGAGCUAUCGAUGAAAUCAUGGUUGAUAUUACAUGCGCUUAACAAAUCAUGAAUCAUGAGUGCAUUGAAAUCAACUAUAUUUUUUUCUUAAGCAAAAUCAAAUAUUGUGAUGAAUACCUGACCAGGCAUAACCUCUCCAUUGAUGCCACUAAUGUUAAUGCCAGCAUAAAGACAAGCUUUGUAAUGUGCAUCAACAAUGUCACGACCAUAGGCUUUAUCAGCACCAAUCCCACAAUAAUAUGGGCCCUGUUAAAAUAAAAAAUAAUUACACAAAAGAACCUUAGAAAAAUUAUAUGAAAGAAAAGUUAUUUGUAAAGAAACAUUAAUGUAACAUUAAAUCCUUCAAAAAAAAUUAAUGUAACAUUAAUGUAAAGAAACAUAUUAAUGUUACAAAAACAAAAAUUUUAGGUACAAUUUUUUUUGACAUUACAUUGUCUACUUGUAGUAAGAAAAACCAUUUCCUUGGCACAAAGAAAUGUAUCAUAGAUUUGGUUGAAGAAUUUGAUAAUUGGGAUAAAUCCAAAACAAGAUAAACAUAAAGGGAACAAAAAUCAAGAAGGAAAAAAAAUGUACUAAAUGACAAAGAAAAAUUCAUACUUGUGGUCCUGGAUAGCCACCAAUAGGCCAUCCUAGUGGCCAAUUAGUAUCUUUCUGCAAUAAUGUAUAUUCUUGCUCAAUUCCAUACCUGUUAAUACAUUUAAGAAAUAUUAAUUUUUGGUUAUCAUCAGAAUAGUACUAAUACUUCAUAUGACAAAUGUGUUACAUGUUAGAGAGUACAUGUGUCUGACACAUACACGACACUGAUACAUACACAAUCCAUAUACAUGUAGUUACUUCAAUCAUUUUAUAUAUUUUUUAAAUUAUUAUCGAUGUCAAUGAAAAUAGUAGAUUAGAAAAUACAUACCAUGGUACCUCAGCAGCAACAUCAGGGUGGCUGAAAAUUUUGGCAGCAUUGUACCUCUUGUUUGUUGGGAGUGGCUCACCAGCUGGGGUGUAAACAUCACAAAUCACCUGAAGAAUUUUUUUCACAAAGUGAAAUUUGUCAAAAAAAAAAAUAUACAUUUUGAUUAACUAGAAAAGCAUUUUCUUAUUCAAAUAUAAUUAAUAUAAAGUAUAAACCAAUUAUGUCAAAAUUAAAAAAUUGAAAAACUUACAAGAAUAUUGUUGCCUUGUCUAAAUGGAUCCUUGAAAAUAGCUUGUGGACUUUUUUAUCAAAUAAUCACAACAAACAAAAAGGAAAGAAAGACUCAUAAGUUUCUUGUGAGAAUAAUUAGCAAAAACAAUAAAAAACAUAGAAUUAUGAGUGAUAAAUUGAAUCAUACUAUAAGAUAACUUCACUAUCUUGUCCUGGAGCUUGAUUUGUGCUUGAUCCAUCAUAGUUCCAUUUAGGAAGUUUUGAAGGGUCACUCACUGGACCAGGUAGAGUCUGUUUAUUUCAAAAUCACCAAAAAAAAACCAAUAAAUGAAUAAAUACAAAUUUAAUUAACAUAAUGUAUAUGAAACUUUAUUUUUUAUAUAUAAUGAUGAUUAAUAAGGGAUUAAGAAAUAACAAUUACCCUGGCUUUGCUUCUAAGGUCCAUACCAGAUCCACCAACCCUGUUUAUAAUAACAUAUAAAAAAUUAAAUUUUUAUUUAAUAUUAUAGAUUGCGAUUGACUAUUCCACAUAACAUAAUAGAUCAACCAAAGAAAAGGGUUUUAGGAAUUAGCAAUAAGAAAACAAUACAAGAAAAUAAUAUUACAAAUAAACCAUAGAGGGUUUAAUUCUACCAAAAACAAGGGUUUUAGGAUUUAUCCAUAAGAAAACUAUACAAUAAAAAAAUAUAUAUAAACUCUUUGAUCUACAAAUAAACCAUAGUAAAGGAGGAACAUUGAAGAACAACAUCUAAUUUGAAUAAAAGUUCUAAAAGAAUCAACCCUUUUAAAAUAUACCAAGAAUCAUAAUGAAUAACAUAGCAACAAAGUUGUUACAUUAUUUUUUGUGUUUAUUCUUUAUCAAAAGAUUUUCAUAAACAGAACACAAAAACAGAGUCCCCUGUUUAAAAACAGAGUAUCCCCUGUUUUCAUAAGGUUUAUGUAACAAGAAAAGAUCCUUAAAACCUUACCAUAUGUAUUCAGCAAUAAUCUUUUCAGAGGAUUCUGAGAGAUUGAGGUUGAUGAGAUCUGAAAGCAAAGACAUGAUGAUGAAUAGUGAAGGAAGAAGAAGAACACAGUGUGUGAAAAGCAAGUAAUAGACAAAUAGCUAUAGAGGAAUCUCUAGCUUUUUUGUUAAGGUU